UAGCUAGUUGGUGAGGUAAAGGCUUACCAAGGCGACGAUCUGUAGCGGGUCUGAGAGGAUGAUCCGCCACACUGGAACUGAGACACGGUCCAGACUCCUACGGGAGGCAGCAGUGGGGAAUUUUGGACAAUGGGGGCAACCCUGAUCCAGCCAUGCCGCGUGAGUGAAGAAGGCCUUCGGGUUGUAAAGCUCUUUCGGCCGGGAAGAAAUCGCAUGGGCCAAUACCCUGUGUGGAUGACGGUACCGGAAUAAGAAGCACCGGCUAACUACGUGCCAGCAGCCGCGGUAAUACGUAGGGUGCGAGCGUUAAUCGGAAUUACUGGGCGUAAAGCGUGCGCAGGCGGUUUUGUAAGACAGGCGUGAAAUCCCCGGGCUUAACCUGGGAACUGCGUUUGUGACUGCAAGGCUAGAGUACGGCAGAGGGGGGUGGAAUUCCACGUGUAGCAGUGAAAUGCGUAGAGAUGUGGAGGAACACCAAUGGCGAAGGCAGCCCCCUGGGUCGAUACUGACGCUCAUGCACGAAAGCGUGGGUAGCAAACAGAAUUAGAUACCCUGGCAGUCCACGCCCUAAACUAUGUCAACUAGGUGUUGGGUGGGUAAAACCAUUUAGUACCGUAGCUAACGCGUGAAGUUGACCGCCUGGGGAGUACGGCCGCAAGGUUAAAACUCAAAGGAAUUGACGGGGACCCGCACAAGCGGUGGAUGAUGUGGAUUAAUUCGAUGCAACGCGAAAAACCUUACCUACCCUUGACAUGCCAGGAACUUGCCAGAGAUGGCUUGGUGCCCGAAAGGGAGCCUGGACACAGGUGCUGCAUGGCUGUCGUCAGCUCGUGUCGUGAGAUGUUGGGUUAAGUCCCGCAACGAGCGCAACCCUUGUCGUUAAUUGCCAUCAUUUAGUUGGGCACUUUAACGAGACUGCCGGUGACAAACCGGAGGAAGGUGGGGAUGACGUCAAGUCCUCAUGGCCCUUAUGGGUAGGGCUUCACACGUCAUACAAUGGUCGGUACAAAGGGUUGCCAAGCCGCGAGGCGGAGCCAAUCCCAGAAAGCCGAUCGUAGUCCGGAUUGCAGGCUGCAACUCGCCUGCAUGAAGUCGGAAUUGCUAGUAAUCGUGGAUCAGCAUGUCACGGUGAAUACGUUCCCGGGUCUUGUACACACCGCCCGUCACACCAUGGGAGCGGGUUCCGCCAGAAGUAGGUAGCCUAACCGCAAGGGGGGCGCUUACCACGGCGGGGUUCGUGACGGGGGUGAAGUCGUAACAAGGUAGCCGUAGGGGAACCUGCGGCUG
rnacentral:rRNA from 1 species